ACGGGAGGCAGCAGUGGGGGAUAUUGCACGAUGGGGGAAACCCUGAUGCAGCGACGCCGCGUGAGUGAUGAAGUAUUUCGGUAUGUAAAGCUCUAUCAGCAGGGAAGAUAAUGACGGUACCUGACUAAGAAGCACCGGCUAAAUACGUGCCAGCAGCCGCGGUAAUACGUAUGGUGCAAGCGUUAUCCGGAUUUACUGGGUGUAAAGGGAGCGUAGACGGCGAGGCAAGCCAGAUGUGAAAGGCUGGGGCUCAACCCCGGGACUGCAUUUGGAACUGUCUGGCUAGAGUAUCGGAGAGGUAAGUGGAAUUCCUAGUGUAGCGGUGAAAUGCGUAGAUAUUAGGAGGAACACCAGUGGCGAAGGCGGCUUUCUGGACUGUAACUGACACUGAGGCACGAAAGCGUGGGGAGCAAACAGGAUUAGAUACCCUGGUA
rnacentral:rRNA from 1 species